rnacentral:lncRNA from 1 species
AUUGAAUCUGCUCCAACCCUUGGCAAGAGCCUCAUCAGGCUAGGCGCUACUGCCAACAUGCUGACCUAUGAGGACCUGAUGAGCAGUGUGGAAGAGGCAAAAGAGAUGGCGGAAGCAGCCUGCACGAGCAGCCGAAAGAGGAGCAGAUUAAUGGCAUCACCUCAUUCCUGGAUGACAGUAUGGUGUAUGGCAGCGCGGACACCCUGGCCAAUUUGCUUCACAACCAGAGCAGUGACAUGGGCCUCUUGGCCUUCAAUGAAGAGUUCCAGGAUGAAGGACUUGACUUCAUGCCUUUUGAGACCCGAGCCCUAAAUCCUUGUUUGCUCACCAACAAGGAGGCCAACAUCUCUUGCUUCAGAGCAGGUAAAUCGAAGAUACUUGACUCCUCUCCUGGGCCUCUUCCCC